UCCAUUAAACCGUUCCAACAGUCCCUCGUCGGCCACCAUACCUCCUUUUGUGUUAAACCGUUCCAACAGUCCCUCGCCGGCCACCACACCUCCAGUUGUGUUAAAUCGUUCCAACAGUCCCUCGCCGACCACCACACCUCCUUCUAUUAGGUAUUUUAUGGCUUCUCUGCUCUGUUUCUCGCUUUCAUUAUUCCUCAGUUUUUAUACUUUUAUUUAUUUAAGCUUUCAUUCUGCUCUGUAAAAAUAAGCUUCGUUCAGCAUUUGUAAAAAUACCAGUUGCAGUGACCUUGCUAUUCUCUCGUAGAUCACCGAUUAUUUUGACAUUUAUUACUUUAGGGGGUGCUGAAAAUGAAACAAGCAUCAUAGCCGAACAUUUCUUGGUUACGGGAAAACAGGGAUUCCGGAAGCUUUUUGUUAGUGUCAGCAGGUACAUCUGAGUAUACCUUGACCAAAGAGGACGUUGGUUGUUGUUUGGCUUUUGUGUACAUUCCCAUUAAUUUUGAAGGUCAGGAAGGAAAAUCUAUGUCAGUAAUGUCUCCUGUUAUGAAACAAGGUACCUUGAUGAGUAUUAGCAAUAUCUU